rnacentral:rRNA from 1 species
GGGGCAUUGGGUGGUGCUCUGCUUCUUCUCGACGGUGUGGGGCUGGAAGUACCACGUCGCCCAAGAGCAACUCACCCGAGCCAAUGGCCUCCCAGCGCCAGUGCCCGAAUCCAAAUUCCAAGCCCACCCUACCCGCCUCAUGCCGCUCCCCACGCUUCUCCUUCUUCCCCUUUCCACCCCUCCGCUGCCCCGUGCUCGCCCUUGCCAUGGCGGCCGCCUCACCCUCAAGCCGCUGGGGUGCCGCCGCGGAACCGUGCGCGUCAGGGCGUCGUCGGAGACCACCGAGCCACCGCCGCCGUCCAGAACCCAGAUGAUCAUGGACAAGAUUUCCUCAGCCGGCGACGAGGUCGGCGGCGCCGGCGGGGCCUACUCAUACGACGCGCUGAAAAGGCUGGACCAAAUCUGCUCCAGCAUAUGCUCAGCUCCCCAACAAGUCUCCCCCUCCUCCUCCUCCAAAGCCCCUCCCCAAAUCGUCACCCGGGUCCAGGGCCCAGCACCGGCGGCGGAUGCCGAUCUCGGCGCAGAGACCUUCGACGUGCUGGUGUGCGGCGGCACGCUGGGCAUCUUCAUCGCCACGGCGCUCAGCUACAGAGGCCUCCGGGUGGGGAUCAUCGAGAGGAACGCCGUCAAAGGGCGGGAGCAGGAGUGGAACAUCUCGCGCAAGGAGCUCAUGGAGAUCGUGCAGGUCGGCAUCCUCUCCGAGGCCGAGGCCGAGCAGGUGGUCACCAGCGAUUUCAACCCCAACCGGUGCGGCUUCGAGGGUAAAGGCGAGAUAUGGGUGGAGGACAUCCUCCACCUCGGCAUAUCGCCGGCGAAGCUCGUCGAGAUCAUGAAAGCGCGCUUCAUUUCCUCAGGAGGAGCCAUCUUCGAGGGGAAGAGCGUGUCGAGCAUUUCGGUUCACGACGAUCUUGCGGUGCUGCAACUGGGCGACGGUGACCGUCUGCGCUGCCGGCUCGUCGUCGAUGCCAUGGGCAACUUCUCCCCGAUCGUGCGGCAGAUCCGCUCCGGCAGGAGACCGGACGGACUGUGCCUCGUCGUCGGUGCCUGUGCCCGUGGGUUUGAGAAGAACACAACCAGUGAUGUUAUCUUCAGUAGCUCGUCAGUGAAGAGUGUUGGAGAUUCAGGGGGAUCAGUGCAGCUCUUCUGGGAGGCAUUUCCUGCCGGCUCCGGCCCGACUGAUCGCACCACAUACAUGUUCACAUAUGUCGAUCCGCAGUUCGGGUGCCCAAAGCUGGAGGAACUCUUGGAGAUGUUCUGGGAUCUCAUGCCUGGUUACCAAGAUACAGUUCUUGACAACUUGGACAUAAGGAGAGUCAUAUAUGGGAUCUUCCCGACUUACCGGGACAGCCCGCUGCCGGCCGCGUUCGACCGGAUCUUGCAGGUCGGCGACGCCAGUGGCAUCCAGUCACCCGUUUCAUUCGGAGGGUUUGGGAGCCUGACAAGGCAUCUCGGCCGACUGUCCAACGGUGUAUACGAAGCGGUUUCAGGAGAUUUCCUGGACACACAAAGUCUGAAGCUGUUAAACCCUUACAUGCCGAAUCUAAGCGCGUCAUGGCUGUUCCAAAGAGCAAUGUCGACGAGGCCCGGGACCGACAUUUUGCCGACAUUUAUCAACGAGCUUCUCUUUGCGAAUUUCCAGUCGAUGCAGAAGCUUGGGGACUCGGUGCUUCGGCCGUUUCUCCAGGAUGUGAUACAGUUUGGACCUUUGGUGAAAACGUUGGGCCUGGUCAUGAUCAGCCGGCCGCAGAUCUUGCCUGAAAUAUUCAAGCAGGUUGGAGUUGGGGUCAUCCUCAACUGGUCAGGCCACUUUGUGAUGCUUGGUCACUACACCUUCCUUUCCAGCUUUGUCGGUCCGGCUGUUAGGCCUUGGGUUAAAUCUUUGGCGCCGAGGGAUAGAUAUCGGUGGGAGCGGUAUCUUGAAGCAUGGGAAUAUGGAGCUGGCUUAGACUAUCGUCAAGAGGAAUGAAGAAGCUCCGGCCAUUAAAAAGGAAUACUAUACUUACUUCCUCGGCAAAUGAAAAAACAGGGGAAUUUUGCCGCUGGUUGGGACAAUGAUCAAGUCUGUUAUUACUAUGCUCCCAUUGAGAGAUACACUUGCUGGGCUGAAGAACUGACUGAGGUGCUGCAAUAAUAAAUAAUAAAGUUUGUAUAUACCGUUUUGCAUUGGGUUCAGGCUGGUUGCAUUUCAAAAGCUCUGUUUGAAGCCGACGGUGCAGCGAGGACUAGAAUUCUGAACCUCAGAAGCUGUGUCUGAAGCCGAUGGUGCAGCGAGGGUGAACUUCACAAGCUGUGUCUGAAGCCGACGGUGCGGCGAGGGUGAACUUCAAAAGCUCUGUCUGAAGCCGACGGUGCAGCGAGGACUAGAAUUCUGAACCUCGCAAGCUGUGUCUGAAGCCAACUAUGAAGCUGUGUCUGAGGACUACUGGAAUUCUGGAGCUCCUCUGCAUUGUGAGCUUCAGAUUGACGCUAAGAGGUGCCACGUUUUAACUGACGCUCCUGAUCACUGACGGCGCUUUGUAUCUUACAUUUGUGUUUGGGCCAUAAUAUGUUUAUAAGAUUGCUAUCAUGUGUUAUAGAGUGUAUGCUGGAAAAUGCUUGUCUUGGCAUUUUCUACAGGGAACUUAUAUCUGAUCAACAUAUACUUACUAUACUUCGGGCAUUUGUUCGAGUUUGUCAUUAAGAGAUACACUUUCCUGUGUUGAAGAACUGAGGUACUGUAAUAGCAAGAAUUAAGUUUGUUGUUACUAUUGCUCCCCUUAAAGGGAAUGACAACACAAUGUGGUUUGACAGAGCUGGGUGAUGCCUGCAGUAAUCAAGUCUGUUGCUACUAGUAUGCUCCUGUUGUAUGGAACAGUAACCAGUGUAUUUUGGAAUGGAAAUUAAUUCGGCUUGGAUCAUGAUGCAUUGGUGGAUAUGAAAUUUGGGAUGCUCUGUGGAUCCUCAUCAGUCAUCAUCCACCUAGGUGGUUGUACUUCUUCCACCUGUCAUCUCCACACCGAUCACCUGUCCUUGGAUGUUAUAUAGGAGUAUAUGCAGUUGUGACGGUGCCUCGCCGGAGAUGGUGCGGAGGAGGCCGGGAUAGUAGACCUGCAAUGCAAUGCAGUAUGCAUUUUGCUAUGUCCUAAAGUUUAAGGGAGAGGCUACUGACAUUUGAAAGCUGUUCGUUCUGUUUUUCAACUCUGGGUGACUAGAUGCAUGUGCGGUAGUAGUGGUUUCAGGCUUGGUGCAUUUUGCAGAACCUCUGUCUGAAGCCAACGAAACGACACAGCGGCGAGGGCUGGAAUUCUGAAGUCCAUUCUGGAUCUGAGAUGGAACCAUGUUGUUCAUCGACGUUCCCGAUUGCCGAUGGGACCCAUAUGCUGUCACGCGGUUGGUUCGUGGGGCCCACGAGAGGAACACUCUUUCAAUAUAUGCUGUAGUGAUCAUAUAUAGUCAAACACCAGGUUGUGCUAAAAUAAGUGUUACUGCAACUUACUCGUUCCCUAUUUAAAUCUCCAAGAGUUAUCAUCUAGUUCCCGGUCAAACUCUUUGCAACCAAGUCACCUGUCUUUGCAAAUUGCAAGUGUGCCUUAUAUGCCUAACCAGUCAUACGUCUUGAUCUAGGUUCAUUCUCCCCCAGCUCCAUCCAGAAAGUCAGCAUCAUGGCCACCGCCGGAACCAAGCCGUCAACCAUGCGCGCCGUCCAGUACAGCGGAUACGGUGGCGGCGCCGCAGCACUCAAGUACGUGGAUAUCCCUGUCCCUUCACCGAAGAAAGAUGAGGUUCUUAUAAGGAUUGAAGCAGCAAGCAUAAAUCCAGCGGAUUGGAAUAUCCAGAAAGGCUUGCUACGUCCUUUCGUUCCUAAGUUCCCGUUUAUUCCAGUAACCGAUGUUGCUGGAGAGGUUGUUGAGGUAGGCCCUGCGGUUCAAGAGUUGAAAGUCGGUGACAAAGUUGUGUCCAAAUUAGUCUUCUGGGUAAUUCGGAAAGUCGUACAAUUUUAACAAUUCAUUUUAUGUUAUUGCACAUAUCCAUCAUUCAUGACACAAGGUAUGUAAUUACAGAAAUCUGGCGGCCUCGCUGAGUAUGUUGCAGCAUCAGAGAGCAUCACCGUCGCCCGCCCUGCCGGAAUAUCCGCUGCUGAUGCCGCAGGGCUGCCCCUCGCCGGCUUCACUGCUUUGCAGGCCUUGAGGGCCAUUGGGACCAAGUUUGACGGCACGGGCAGCGGCAGCAACAUCCUGAUCACCGCGGGGUCAGGCGGCAUCGGCACUUACGCAGUUCAGCUGGCCAAGCUCGGAAACCACAAUGUCACGGCAACCUGCGGUGCACGCAACCUGGAGGUCGUCGCGAACAUCGGUGCCGAUGAGGUGCUUGAUUACAAGACCCCGGAAGGUGCGGCCCUGAAAAAUUCUUCGGGCAAGAAGUACGACUACAUCGUGAACAUCACGAGCGAUGGCAAGUGGUCGGCCUUCAAGCCGGCCCUCAACUUCCCUGGCAGAGUUGUCGACAUAGCUUCCAACUUUUGGAACUUCGUCGCAUCAAUUUUGACAUUUUUUCCAAGAAAAAGCUAUCCAUUAUGAUUGCAUCGAUGGAGAAGGAGGACUUGAGGUUCCUGCUUGACCUGAUGAAGGAAGGGAAGCUCAAGACGGUUGUCGACUCACGGCACCCUUUUGAGAAGGUAGCUGAUGCGUGGGAGAAGAGCAUGAGCGGCCACGCGACAGGAAAGGUCAUUGUUGAGAUGUGAACUUCAUGCAUAUGAUCCUUUAUUGUAAACUAGAGUAGUAGCAAGCGCAUCCACAAAAAACGUUUUAAUCAUCUACUCCCUCUGCCUCAAAAUAUAAGACGUUUUUUGACACUAUUUAGUGCCAAAAAACGUCUUAUAUUUAAGGGAGAGGGACUAUUACUUUAUCUUGUAAAAGUUCAUAUGGUGUAACAGCACAUUCAGUCUAGAAGUCAUGUAAUGUUAUUCAAUAUUUA